rnacentral:rRNA from 1 species
UACGUAGGCUCCAAGCGUUGUUCGGAAUUACUGGGCGUAAAGCGAGUGUAGGCGGUCCGUCAAGUUGGUUGUGAAAUCUCCCGGCUCAACUGGGAGGGUGCAAUCAAAACUGACGGACUAGAGUCUGGGAGAGGAGAGUGGAAUUCCUGGUGUAGCGGUGAAAUGCGUAGAUAUCAGGAGGAACACCGGUGGUGAAGACG